rnacentral:rRNA from 1 species
UACGUAGGUGGCAAGCGUUGUCCGGAUUUACUGGGCGUAAAGAGCGCGCAGGCGGUCGUUCAAGUCGCGUGUGAAAGCCCCCGGCUCAACUGGGGAGGGUCACGCGAUACUGAUCGACUCGAAGGCAGGAGAGGGUAGUGGAAUUCCCGGUGUAGUGGUGAAAUGCGUAGAUAUCGGGAGGAACACCAGUGGCGAAGGCGACUAUCUGGGCUGAAACUGACGCUGAGGCGCGAAGGCUAGGGGAGCAAACAGG